CAGGAUUAUACCUGUGGCUGUCCGAGGCGGACUGUCCUGGAGAAGGAGUAUUACAAGCUCCAGCUGAUGUCGCUCCUUCUUCCCCUCCACGUCAAACUGGUGAACAGUGUUGAUGAGAGUCUGGCGCUGAUGCUGUAGCUGGUAUAGCUGCUGUUCCCUCAUACGACCCAACUCCUCCAGGUGUCGUCCCCGAUAAUCGUGAUAUCCUCACUCAUGAUGCUGCUUGUCAUACUGGAGAUGGUACUCAGCUCGUGCAGCUCCUCAGCAUCACUAUGGAGACUCUCCUGGCUACAAUGAGAUGGUUAACACUGACAGAUGUUCACAGUCAUUGACAGGCAUAUGUGACCAAAUCAUAAGAAAAUGUGUUAAUCAGAAAAUUUAAUUCAUGUUACCACAAAGAGUAACAAAUAAAGAGCAUUUCAGUUAUAACAAAUUCAAAGGUCAAUUUCCUGCGUCAAAAUAUUAUGAAUGUGCUUGAACCAAUAAUUCUAAUGGCCAAAUCUGAAAGUUUGGCUAUUCACAUGUAACCAUAUCAGAAAUGAUCAACAAUGCAUGUUGGCAGUGUAACACAUAUCAGGCGUAAUGGAAUAUUUAAUACUGUUCAGUGUUAGCCCAUGGCUGUCUUAUGCUAAAUGUGGUCAAAAUCACUUCAGCAGUUCUGAUCUUGUACCAUAUAAAAUUUGAUAGAUUGAUGACAAUGAUGAAGGGCAACAUGUCAUGGCAAAAACUUAUAUGACCUUUUGGCCUUUUGCCAUGUGAACUAAUCAUGAAUUUGAAUGAAAUGGUAAAAAAUGUUCUUGAAUGAGCAAACAAAGUAUGUUUUGAAUCAACCAUUCUA